rnacentral:lncRNA from 1 species
CAAUUACUUAUGCACGACAAAAAUAUUAAAAUACUGUGAAUUGUUCUAACAGUACAUUUUACUUUUAAAUGUUUUAAUAUGUAUUGUAAGUUGCUGAAUCCAUUAUAAAUUCAUAUAUGCAUAUAUUAAUUUACAGAGUCCUAAUUACAAAACCAAGUGCAUAGUUUUUGGGGAGGAUUAGAAGAUACUUUCAAGAAAAAUGCUGCUUUUCACCUUUGGAACCCAACCUCUCUAUACAAGGUGGUGCAAGUGAGGGUUUUGUGAAGAUAAUAAUAAAAUUUAUAAAUUGCUUUACUCUUCCUGAAAACAAGACAUGAAGCAAACCCCUGGCUGGCCAUGGCUUUGCCCCUGAUGCAAGCUAUCGGUUAUUUGCUUGAAACCCU